rnacentral:misc_RNA from 1 species
GAGGAAGAACGCAGCGAAAUGCGAUACGUAAUGUGAAUUGCAAAUUCAGUGAAUCAUCGAGUCUUUGAACGCACAUUGCGCCCCCUGGUAUUCCGGGGGGCAUGCCUGUCCGAGCGUCAUUGCUGCCCUCAAGCACGGCUUGUGUGUUGGGCCCCGUCCUCCGAUCCCGGGGGACGGGCCCGAAAGGCAGCGGCGGCACCGCGUCCGGUCCUCGAGCGUAUGGGGCUUUGUCACCCGCUCUGUAGGCCCGGCCGGCGCUUGCCGAUCAACCCAAAUUUUUAUCCAGGUUGACCUCGGAUCAGGUAGGGAUACCCGCUGAACUUAAGCAUAUCAAUAAGCGGAGGA